rnacentral:rRNA from 1 species
GAGCGGCAGCACGGGUACUUGUACCUGGUGGCGAGCGGCGGACGGGUGAGUAAUGCCUAGGAAUCUGCCUAGUAGUGGGGGAUAACGUCCGGAAACGGGCGCUAAUACCGCAUACGUCCUACGGGAGAAAGUGGGGGAUCUUCGGACCUCACGCUAUUAGAUGAGCCUAGGUCGGAUUAGCUAGUUGGUGAGGUAAUGGCUCACCAAGGCGACGAUCCGUAACUGGUCUGAGAGGAUGAUCAGUCACACUGGAACUGAGACACGGUCCAGACUCCUACGGGAGGCAGCAGUGGGGAAUAUUGGACAAUGGGCGAAAGCCUGAUCCAGCCAUGCCGCGUGUGUGAAGAAGGUCUUCGGAUUGUAAAGCACUUUAAGUUGGGAGGAAGGGCAGUUACCUAAUACGUGAUUGUUUUGACGUUACCGACAGAAUAAGCACCGGCUAACUCUGUG